CCAGCUUUGCAGCAGCUUCUAUAUCGUCUCAUUGGUUGCAGGCCAGAAGGCGCUGCUAACCACAAUCAUGUUACACAAUAUGCACUUGCUCUGGUGUUGAAAGAGAGUUUUAAAGUCUAUUGUGCUAUCAAUGAUGGA